rnacentral:lncRNA from 1 species
UGUUGCAGGUGUGAGCCACCACUCUCAGCUCCUGCCGCCCUCAUUGUGACCUUGGGUCCUCAGCACAUGCUCGCUCGCACUUGUGACUACAGACUUCCCAGCUCUAGAACUACAUGCUAAGUCUGUGAGCCACAUGUGGAGUCCCCACAGAGAACAAAGAGGGCAUCAGAUCAUUUGGAACUGGAGUUAAAGACAGCUGUGAGUCACCAUGGAGAUGCUGGGAAUUGAAACUAGGCCUUCUGUGAGAGCAGCCACUGGCAGAGCAGUCUCUCCACUCACAAAGUUUUAAACAUAAAUACCCUACCGAUUCACAACUGCACCUGUCGUGCAAGUGUGCAGUUCCUCAGUUCACUGUUUCUACUUCCCUUUUAAAGAAAAAACAAACAAACUUAACA